rnacentral:tRNA from 1 species
CCUGGUGGCUCAGAGGUUAAAGCAUCUGCCUGGAAUGCAGGAGACCCAGGUUCAAUCCCUGGGUCAGGA